rnacentral:rRNA from 1 species
AGCAGCCGCGGUAAUUCCAGCUCCAAUAGCGUAUAUUAAAGUUGCUGCAGUUAAAAAGCUCGUAGUUGAAUUUCGGGAUCAUCAUGUCGGUCGUGCCUCGGUACGUACUGGCAUUGUUGGUUUCUACCUUCUGACGAACCAUGAUGUCAUUUAUUUGGUGUCGUGGGAAAUCAGGACUGUUACUUUGAAAAAAUUAGAGUGUUUAAAGCAGGCUCACGCUUGAAUACAUUAGCAUGGAAUAAUGAAAUAGGACGUUUGAUUCUAUUUUGUUGGUUUCUAGGAUCGACGUAAUGAUUAAUAGGGAUAGUUGGGGGCAUUAGUAUUCAAUUGUCAGAGGUGAAAUUCUUGGAUUUAUUGAAGACUAACUACUGCGAAAGCAUUUGCCAAGGAUGUUUUCAUUAAUCAAGAACGAAAGUUAGGGGAUCGAAGACGAUCAGAUACCGUCGUAGUCUUAACCAUAAACUAUGCCGACUAGGGAUCGGAUGAUGUUAAUUUUUUAANGACUCAUUCGGCGCCUUAC